AAUGAUACCUGUAGUGGCUAUGAGGGUACGUGUGACGGCGGAUGUCAAGAACCAUUUAUUGGUCGUAUCUGUGAUCAUCAAAAUUUUACCGAGUUUCAGGAAGAAUUAGUUUGUAUACAUAGACCUCUCUCUACUGCGUGGAUUGCAGGAAUGGCCUUUUCUCUAACAUCAAAUAUAUUUGCAGUUGUCAUCAUCAUUUUCAAAAUAAGACAUUUUCAGUUAGACGAAAGAGGAAAAAGAGGAAAGGAGCGGUAUAUUACAAUGGCAGAUACCAGAACUUUGAACAAUGAAGAUAACACUCAUAAUUAUGAGGGAAUAAAUAAUACUGCAAAUUAGAAAAUCUUG